CUUGGUUAAACAAAGUGGGUCAUUGAGAGUAGCUCCUGAAAUGGUUUAUCUUGUCUUUGGAUCUCUUCACAUACAAGCUCCCUCUCCUGUGAUCCUGGUGGCCAUAAAGUGAGUAACUUGGUUCCACCAUGGUGCCUUGCUUCACCACAGCCCAGGAACAACAGAGUCAGGCGACUGAGGAUGAGAAGUUCUGAAAGCACAGAGGGAGGAGACAAUCCUGUGUGGGCUUUGAGGACAAGGGAACGCUCCAUCUAGAGUCCAGUCUUCUCCCCUGAAUCAUUCCUUCAUCACAUGUGACGUCAGCACGUUGUCUGCCAAGUAGAGGUGGCGCAACGUGGACAUCCGGAAGUGACGCAGGAGGACGAAGGUGGAGAAGGCAUGGGGUGCAGCUGGCGAUAACCCCAGGCUUUUGAACACAAGAUGUCCCCUACAUGGCUCUCCCAGCAUCCAGCCUCCUGCCUAGUGCUGUGGGCCGAUGAACUAAGGACCCAGGCCUGAAGCUCCAGCCAAAAGCACUCAGAAUGUAAUUCCUCUGCUCUUCUCCCAGACACGAUUCUGAAGGAGUAGAUGUCACCCCAGCCAGUCAUUAUCCCAGAAUCCACCCCACAGAGCACGACUGCAUCAAUCAAACAUUUAAUUAGUUAAUAAGAAAUGUCCGUUGAGAAACCACAAA